CCGUUCGUUAGUCCGUUCGUUCGUCCGUCCGUCCGUCCGUUCCGUCUGUCUGUCCCGCUUCAGGUUAAAGUUUUUGGUCAAGGUAGUUUUUGAUGAAGUUGAAGUCCAAUCGACUUCAAACUUAGUAUACAUGUUCCCUAUGAUAUGAUCUUUUAAAUUUUAAUGCCAAAUUAGAGGGUUUACCCCAAUUUCACGGUCCACUGAACAUAGAAAAUGAUAGUGCGAGUGGGGCAUUCGUGUACUGGGGACACAUUCUUGUUUGUAGCCUGU
rnacentral:lncRNA from 1 species